GGGGAGAUGAAGAGAGGGGGAGAGAGGGGAGGUGAAGAGAGAGAGAGAGGGGUGAAGAGAGAGAGAGGGGGGAGGUGAAGAGAGAGAGAGGGGGAGAUGAAGAGAGAGAGAGGGGGAGAUGAAGAGAGAGAGAGGGGGAGAUGAAGAGAGGGAGGGGAGGUAAAGAGAGAAAGGGGAGGGGAGGUGAAGAGAGAGAGACGGGUGAAGAGAGAGAGAGGGUGGAGGUGAAGAGAGGUAGAGGAGGGGAAGCGAGAGGUGAAGAUGGAGAUAGGGGGAGGUAAAGAGAGGGGGUGAAGAGAUAGAGAGAGGGGUGAAGAGAGAGAGAGGGGU
ensembl:lncRNA